AUUGAACGCUGGCGGCAGGCCUAACACAUGCAAGUCGAACGGUAACAGGAAGCAGCUUGCUGCUUUGCUGACGAGUGGCGGACGGGUGAGUAAUGUCUGGGAAACUGCCUGAUGGAGGGGGAUAACUACUGGAAACGGUAGCUAAUACCGCAUAACGUCGCAAGACCAAAGAGGGGGACCUUCGGGCCUCUUGCCAUCGGAUGUGCCCAGAUGGGAUUAGCUAGUAGGUGGGGUAACGGCUCACCUAGGCGACGAUCCCUAGCUGGUCUGAGAGGAUGACCAGCCACACUGGAACUGAGACACGGUCCAGACUCCUACGGGAGGCAGCAGUGGGGAAUAUUGCACAAUGGGCGCAAGCCUGAUGCAGCCAUGCCGCGUGUAUGAAGAAGGCCUUCGGGUUGUAAAGUACUUUUCAGCGGGGAGGAAGGCGAUAAGGUUAAUAACCUUGUCGAUUGACGUUACCCGCAGAAGAAGCACCGCUAACUCCC
rnacentral:rRNA from 1 species